CGCAGGUUUUUGCUUCGGUGAU
rnacentral:miRNA from 1 species